rnacentral:lncRNA from 1 species
CACGUGACGGCCAGCAUGCCCUCCUUCGGGACGAGGUGUGUCAAUGCUCCUAUCAGGAAACUUAACGGAGUUAAGGAGAGAUGACAAAUUAAUGAUUUCAAAAAGUUGGUAUAACAAAUUGCUUAAAAUUUUAGUUUAUAUGACAAAUUAAAAAAGGGAAAUUUUAUUUGGACCCAUAUAACCUCUUUUUACACCCAACUUAAACUUUAAAUAUAUAUUGUCUUUCUUACCCUAUUGCAUAAUUACUGUCAAGUACAAGAUGAAAUGAACAAUAAAACCAAAAUUUAUCAGUAGACCCAUAUAUACCCAAUAAUCAAUCUACUUCUUGCUACCAUCUGGUAAUGUGUCGCGCCUUCAUCGCACUAGCUCGAUGUUACUUCUGAGUUUUUACAUGCUUAUGUUUUUGUUUAUGGAUUCGAAGCAACCAAGGAUUCUUCAAACUUCAGAUCACAUAAAUGAAAAGCUGAUCCAACGGACCAUGUGAAACUUUUGGAUUUUGUACUAAAUAUUGGAGGGAUUGGCUGAUCCAAUUUUGAUCAGUUGCAAGAAAACGCAUACUGAUUGAACAAAAACAAAAUAAAAACAUAUGGGAUUUAAAUAUUUAUUUUUUUUAAUCAUCUAUAUGGGAUUAAGCAAAAUCAACAGAUGAAAGAUUAAUUAAAACAGAUAUGGGAUUGAGUAAAAUCAACAAAAAAGAAGGAUUACGCAUGAGACAAAUAUGUGAGAGAUAUUGCUGUCUUUAUGCCUUGAAUGAAUUUCAAAACACUGAUUUUGGUUUUUUAUUUUUUAAAUGGGUGCAAAGAUAAAUUUAUAUAUCAAAUUGUGUUUGUGAGGGUAGUUUAGGUAGUAAGUUUGGGUUUAAAGAGAUAUUAAUAGUUUAGUUAAAAAUAAUAUGGGUGUGGAGAGUAAGUUGAGUGUAAAAAGAGGUUGUAUGGGUUGAAAUAAAAUUUCUCAUUGAAAAAUGCAUACAAGUUCAUAUGACAUUUCAAAAACUUUUUCCUACCUAAAUCUAUAGACAUAUGAAUCCAAAUGUACCAAUAUAAAUAGAUUGUAACAAAAAUUUAUCACAAACUUACCUUACCGUAUUAGUACAUUUGAAUCCAAACGUAUCAAUAUAAAUGGAGAAAUGAGGCACAUCUAGUUGUCUCUAAAUUGAGAUGUAAAAAAUAUGAAUUAACAAAAAAAAAAAUACAAAUUAAAAACAGAUAAAAGUUCAAAAACAAGAAAUGACUAACGUCAAUCAUGUUAAUUAUUAAUAAAAAGAUAACUAAGCUUGAAAGUUUGUUUUGAUCUUCCCUAAAAUUAAGGCAAUUUAAUUUGGACAUUUCUUUAGGUGUGAGUUUAGUCGCAUGUUUUGGUUUGGUUCAACGCUACAUCUUGAUUCCCUUGCAAUUGUGGCAAGCGACUUUCGGGAGUGCUGGAAAAUGUAUGUCUAAGGGUUUGUGAAUUCAUGGCCCACAUUCAUCUCAUGCUCAAAUUUCGGCCACAUUUGCUCCUAGUUCAGCCGUGCAACAGCUUCAUUUUCAAGCCCAGGUAACAUCUUUUUUUUUUAAUUUUAUUUUAUUUUUAUUUUGGGGUAGAACAAGCAAUUCAUAGAUUCAGCAAGGCACAAGGCCAAGAAGCAAACAAAAGGGUGCCCAGCACACCCAGAAACAAGAUCAAAGAUAAAUAGGAUACAACAUACGCCACCACACAGGCCCCCAACAUCAUCCCAUAUAUCCAAGACAAAACUCCCCCACCUAUGAAGGACAUGGCAGGCCAUUUUUGUUCAAAAUACCCACAAGCGAAGUGGAGGUGUCACCACCCAGCCUAAGCCAACCAUCUCCGAAGACAAGUUUCUCGCGACAAAAUCCGCC